CUUUUUCAUCAAUCAUCAGUAAUUAUUGACUUGAAACAAGCUUAUUUCUUGCUGAUGAGUUACUUGUAAGUUAGGUUUGUCUUG